AGCAUCAGAGAGGCAGAGAUAAGAUUGCUGCAAGUUCAAGGUUGGCCAGGGCUACAUAGUAAGAUGCUGCCUCCGACUCUCCCCUCCUCCCCAAAACACCCUUUGUACGUCAGCAAACCAACCAUGCUUUUCCUGUUUCAUAACAGUAAGUGACAGAAGUGAGGGCUGAGGGAGAUCCCGUCAGCUCUGACGUAGUGCUCACUCUGUCACAGGAUGCAGAGCUGGGCUGUCUGUCUGUCUGCCUGCCUGUCUGUUUGCCUGCCUGCCUGCCUGUCUGCCUGUCUCAUCUCUGCAGUACAGCUCCCACUCAUUUGGUCACACUUGGAAACCAAAAACAUACUCAAAUUGUAACUGGUGACUGGUGAGGUGCCUUCUUUCUAAGUCCCUGUGGUUGAAAUACUUAACGGGUUAUGAAUGUCUAUAUUCAUUAAUAGUCAUGGCCCCAUUGUCUUCCUGGUAUACCCCAGCGACAAGUGACUGCGUCACUCCUUGUGCUGACCAGCUGGCUGCAGUGUUGCCAUGCUCCAGAAGAAGUGAAGUAGGCCUGGAUGUGGCUUCAAGUCAGUUUUAUUCUGGAUAAAGUGACGCAUGCGUGGAACAAAGCCUGCAUUUAGCAUUGCCCCUGUCUGUACUGUACUGUACUGUACUGUACUGUGGGAAGUAGCUUCAGCCUUUAUUUUCCUGAGGGAAGAAAAUCCUGUUCAAAUUUUAUUAUGCCAUUUUAUUAGGCAGGUUUUUCUUUCUGUUUUUUUUUUUUGUUGUUGUUGUUGUUAUUGUUGUUAUUUUUAGCAAAAUCUUUAGGUAUAAAAUCACUAGUUACUGAGUUUAGAAAUUAAAGCAGAAAACAAGUCACAUAGAACAAUGAUAAAUCAGUUAAUAGAGAGUUUACAUUGUUGCCUUGGGUGCUUAUUAACUUGUGUCAUAAAACUUUAAAUUAUUUUAGAAUUAGUUUGUUCUGCUAGUAUUUUGAAGUUUCAUGUAACAAUGGACUACCCACUCUAUUAAACCACAGACCAGGGUGAGUUUAAUUACUUUCCCAGAGGCUUCAGGGUAGCAAAUUCCUUCCCAGAAUUCCCUUUAUGUCUAACUCUCAUUGAAAAUCAUCUUGGAGAAAUUUGUUCUCUGUUGCACCACCUGACUUAGUCUUCUUGGGCUGCUAUAGCAAAAUGUUACAAAUGACUUCCCCCAAGCUUGAGAUGAUCUGUCUCCUUCCUUCCGAGCCCUCCUCCCCCACCUCAGGCCCCCAUGAUUGCUCAGUAAGUACUUCACUGACUGAGUAGCUCCGCAGCCCAGUUCAGGAGCUUGGAAUGGCUAAGUCCAGGAGAGAGAGAAUGGUGAGUUCCCAUCUCACACCUCUAGAUGGCGCUCUCCGUGUCGUGUGGUAGGAGGGCAAAUACAGUGCACUCCCCAGGGCCUGUUUUAUGAAAGUGCCAAUUGUAGUUCGGAGGCCUCAGCUCUCCCUUGCACUCUUUUAGCACUGCCAAGUUACAGGAGUGAGAUUUUCAACAUGCGAAACUGGGGGACAUUAACUGGUACGUUCCUACAAAUGGGCCUCCCUGCUCCUGCGAUAAAUUGAUGUCGACCACUCUCCCCGUAAGACAGUGCUCACUUCUCCGUCUUGUUUGUGUGCCUGUUGCUUCUCUUGAGGCUGAUCUUUGUUUUACAGCUGAGGAGGCCGAGACUUACAUAGCAGUGGGUUCGGGGACUCUUGAGUUCAGUCUUUAGUUUUGUGCUAUUAUUCUCCGUUUUCUACAAGCGCUUCCAGGUUAGUGGGUUUUAAACUGUUGCCUUGGGCUUUCUAGGAGCCUCCUGCCUUAGUGAACAGACAGGCGCCUGCUUCAGCUGGAGUGGGCUUUAGUUUCUCAUUGCUGACAGGCUUUACCUGAAGAAGAGAUGAGCACACUCCCAUACUUGCUGGGGAACCUGGGCAGGCUUACGGCUUUCCCAACCCUCCUGCCUCACACACAAUCCUGCAAUUUCAGGUGUGUGCCCCUGUGUCCAGUCUAACAAAAAAGGCUUUGAGUGUUUUCAGUCUUGAAGAAAAAAAAAAAAGAUGUGUUUAAGUUUUCCCUGUUGUACGUCUGAGGGUUGUUGGGUCACUGGAGUUUCAUCAUGUUGGUGUGGGGCCAUAAGAGUUUCCUUCUGCCAGUGUGACCUAUGCUCCUGGCGGUCUUACAGAAAGAUUGAAGCAACCUUUCUAGAAAUAUUUUUAGAAGAGAAGUACAGAGAUGAUGUUUGGGCACUAGGAAUUUCUUAACAGUACUUGGUAUUUGUUUGGUCCAAGUCUGCCUGCCUUGCAAGAGUCUGCAGCUGCUUCUAGCACCCAGACUCUGGGAACUGUUGCUACAUCUGUAUCAUAACGAGUCAGGAUCAUUGUGUUAUGAAUUAUAAAUAAAACCUGGAGCUUGGAGCCGGGCAGUGGUGGCGCACACCUUUAAUCCCAGCACUUGGGAGGCAGAGGCAAGCGGAUUUCUGAGUUCGAGGCCAGCUUGGUCUACAGAGUGAGUGCCAGGACAGCCGGGGCUACACAGAGAAACCCUGUCUCCAAUAACCAAAAAGAAAAAAGAAAAAGAAAAACAAAACAAACCUGGGUCUGGUGUGAUGGCUCAGUGGGUGUUAGAACACUUAGUUCUCUCGUAGAGGAUCUGGGUUCAGUUCCCAGUGCCCACAGGAUGAUUGGGAAACCGUCUAUAACCCCAGUUCCAGGGGAUCUGGCACUCUUCUUUCUAACCUUUGUGGGCAUCAGGCACUCGUGUCACUUAGUAUACAUGUGUGCAGGCAAAACUCUCAGAUCCAUAAAAAUAAUAAAAG
rnacentral:lncRNA from 1 species